rnacentral:lncRNA from 1 species
ACCAUGGCCGAACAGCGUCUUCCGGUACCCCGGCUUCGGGGCGUCUCGCGGGAGCAGUUCAUGGAGCAUCUUUACCCGCAGAGAAAGCCUCUUGUGUUGGAAGGACUCGACUUAGGAUCUUGCACAAGCAAAUGGACAGUGGAUUACCUGAGUCAAGUCGGAGGGACGAAAGAGGUGAAGAUUCACGUCGCUGCAGUCGCGCAGAUGGACUUCAUUAGUAAGAACUUUGUCUAUAGAACUUUACCUUUUAACAAGCUGGUCCAGAGAGCGGCCGAAGAAACACAUAAAGAGUUCUUCAUUUCACAGGAUGAGAGAUACUACUUACGGUCACUUGGAGAAGACCCGAGGAAGGAUAUUGCAGACAUCAGGCAGCAGUUUCCGUCAUUAGGAGAAGAUAUUA